CGGCCACAUUGGGACUGAGAUACGGCCCAGACUCCUACGGGAGGCAGCAGUGGGGAAUAUUGCACAAUGGGCGCAAGCCUGAUGCAGCGACGCCGCGUGAGGGAUGGAGGCCUUCGGGUUGUAAACCUCUUUUAUCGGGGAGCAAGCGAGAGUGAGUUUACCCGUUGAAUAAGCACCGGCUAACUACGUGCCAGCAGCCGCGGUAAUACGUAGGGUGCAAGCGUUAUCCGGAAUUAUUGGGCGUAAAGGGCUCGUAGGCGGUUCGUCGCGUCCGGUGUGAAAGUCCAUCGCUUAACGGUGGAUCCGCGCCGGGUACGGGCGGGCUUGAGUGCGGUAGGGGAGACUGGAAUUCCCGGUGUAACGGUGGAAUGUGUAGAUAUCGGGAAGAACACCAAUGGCGAAGGCAGGUCUCUGGGCCGUUACUGACGCUGAGGAGCGAAAGCGUGGGGAGCGAACAGGAUUAGAUACCCUGGUAGUCCACGCCGUAAACGGUGGAUGCUGGAUGUGGGGCCCGUUCCACGGGUUCCGUGUCGGAGCUAACGCGUUAAGCAUCCCGCCUGGGGAGUACGGCCGCAAGGCUAAAACUCAAAGAAAUUGACGGGGGCCCGCACAAGCGGCGGAGCAUGCGGAUUAAUUCGAUGCAACGCGAAGAACCUUACCUGGGCUUGACAUGUUCCCGACGGUCGUAGAGAUACGGCUUCCCUUCGGGGCGGGUUCACAGGUGGUGCAUGGUCGUCGUCAGCUCGUGUCGUGAGAUGUUGGGUUAAGUCCCGCAACGAGCGCAACCCUCGCCCCGUGUUGCCAGCGGAUUAUGCCGGGAACUCACGGGGGACCGCCGGGGUUAACUCGGAGGAAGGUGGGGAUGACGUCAGAUCAUCAUGCCCCUUACGUCCAGGGCUUCACGCAUGCUACAAUGGCCGGUACAACGGGAUGCGACGCGGCGACGCGGAGCGGAUCCCUGAAAACCGGUCUCAGUUCGGAUCGCAGUCUGCAACUCGACUGCGUGAAGGCGGAGUCGCUAGUAAUCGCGAAUCAGCAACGUCGCGGUGAAUGCGUUCCCGGGCCUUGUACACACCGCCCGUCAAGUCAUGAAAGUGGGCAGCACCCGAAGCCGGUGGCCUAACCCCUUGUGGGAUGGAGCCGUCUAAGGUGAGGCUCGUGAUUGGGACUAAGUCGUAACAAGGUAGCCGUACCGGAAGGUGCGGCUG
rnacentral:rRNA from 1 species